rnacentral:rRNA from 1 species
GGUCUUGACAUCCCGGAGACCCUUAGGAAACUAGGGGGUGGCUUCCAUCUGGAAGAAAUCUGGAGACAGGUGCUGCAUGGCUGUCGUCAGCUCGUGUCGUGAGAUGUUGGGUUAAGUCCCGCAACGAGCGCAACCCUUGCCUUUAGUUGCCAGCAGUUCGGCUGGGCACUCUAAAGGGACUGCCGGUGUUAAACCGGAGGAAGGUGGGGGAUGACGUCAAGUCCUCAUGGCCUUUAUGACCAGGGCUACACACGUACUACAAUGGCCGAUACAAAGGGCAGCGACACUGCGAGGUGAAGCCAAUCCCGUAAAAUCGGUCUCAGUCCGGAUUGGAGUCUGCAACUCGACUCCAUGAAGUUGGAAUCGCUAGUAAUCGUGGAUCAGCAUGCCACGGUGAAUACGUUCCCGGGCCUU